CUUCUAUUACAUCUAGAAAUCUGGAGAUUUCUUUGCACAAAAAGCUUUUUGUUUCAUACCAUUUUCUCUCACUCUUAGCUCCUCAGGGGUGCUCACGAAGAGAUUAAUGACAUAAAAAAGCAUACUUAGUAUUUAAAGAAGCAAAAACCCACAAGAAGCAAGAAAGAUGUCUUUAAGUAGUUUCAAGAUUGCUUGUGGAGGAGGAAUCUGGCUUGCUCUGAAUGGGCCCACACCUCUGAGCUAAGAACAAGAGGUGGAUGCCAGAGGGAGACAGAAUUUCAGCUUUUAGAGAAGAUAAAAAAUUAUCCAGGCUUCCCAAGGAUAGUGAAUCUCUGUUACUGGAGGUGUUCAGGUGAACUGGGAAGGACCACCUACCAGAGACACCUCUGCAGGUAUCUAAGCAUAGAUGUAGGGCAGGAAGAAAUGGCAUCUCAGAGACCUGGCAUUCAGCUUGUUGGGCUGAUCUAGUUUUACAUUGCUGUGAACAAAUCAUCUUAAAAAUCAGUGAUUCAAAAUUAUAAUAAUCAUUUUAUAUUAUCUUUCAUUGUUCUGGGAGUUUUGGUUUUUUUCUUCUUCUUCUUUUUUUUUUUUUGAUACAGGGCCUCCCUCUGUCACCCAGGCUAGAGCGCAGUAGCGUAAUCAUGGCUCACUGCAGCCUUGACCUCCUGGGAUCAAAGGAAACUCCAACCUUAGCUUCCUGAGUAGCUGGGACCACAGGCACACACCAUCACACCUGGCUAAUUUUCUUAAUUUUUUGUAGAGACGGAGUCUCAUCAUGUUGCCCAGGCUGGUCUCAAACACCUGGGCUCAAGCAUUCUCCCCAUCGGCCUCCUACAGUGCUGGGAUUACAGGCAUAAGCCACCACACCUGACCAUAGUUCUGAAGGUUGACUGGGCUCAGCUAGGUGGUUGGUGCUCAGGAUCUCUCAUGUCAGACAGUGGCUGGGGUUAGGAUCAUCUUGACUUCCUCACUCCUAUGUUUGGUAUCUGAGCCAUCAAUAUUUAAACAGAUUGGAGCAGUUGAAUUUCAUGGGCAUCUUUACUUCUGUGUGGUCUUUCUAGUAUGGUGACUUUAUGGUAGCAGGCUUCUUACAGGGUUAGAAACAUACCUGUUCCUAGACACAGAGCUAGGCAGAAGUUGUAUUGUCUUUUAUGACCCAGUCUUGAAAGUCAUGUAGUAUCUCCUCUGCUGUCUUCUAUUAAUUGAGAUAGUCACAAAGACCUUCCUAGGUUGAAAGGGAGGGGACGUAGAUUCUAGUCUUGAUGAGGGAAGUAGAACAUUUCUGGAAGUUUGCGUGGGACCAGAGAUAUUCUUAUAGCCACUUUUAGAAAAUAUCAUCUGUUUCAUGGGCUUUCUAGAGGAAUGGCUUUUUCACACUUCUUCAUGGGUGGGGGUCACCAUGACUUUCCUCAAGGUGCCUCGAGCCUUUUGUUCCAUGGAUGCCUCUGAUAUACAGGCCAUAACAGAGUCUGCAGUUUUUAUGUGAAGAGAGACAUUAAUACAUCUUAUUUUCCCCACAGUCUUGCGAUCAACCCAGAACUGAAGGGAAGGGGAAUAAACUGGACAAGCCUGAUAGUUACAGUCACAAAUAGUGGAGGAAGCCAAGCACAGAGGUAGACUGCACAUCCCUCUCCACUGGGGAUCCCGUGAAGAAGAAAACGCCAUCAGAAUCCAUGGACUUCUUAAUCUUUAGAUCGAGAAAGUAUGGAUUCUACAUUUCUAUCCAUCUACAUCAGUGGGGAGCUGUGUUCAACUACUAGCAACAGAGACUCAUUUGCAGUGGCUGAAACUCACAAAGGAUUAUUAUGUAAAAGACACCUGAAGAUCAGCAGUUCAAGGCUGUUCCACAAAGUCUUCAUGGACUGAGAGAACUUCUACUUUUCCGUUUUAUUUUCUUGGUCUAUUUUUCUGCUUUCAUUCAAAAGGUGACUUCACAGUCCCAAAUGGCUGCUGAAGUUCCAGGCAGGAAGGAAGGAGAAUGGCUUUGCCCACUGUCUUUUUUUUUUUUCUUUUUUUUAGAAACAGGGUCUUGCUCUGUCACCGAGGCUGCAAUAAUAGCUCACUGCAGCCUUGAACUCCUGGGCUCAGGUGUUCCUCCUCAGCCUCCCAAGUAGCUAGGACUACAGGCGUAUGCCACCAUGUCCAGCUAAUUUUUGUAUUUCUUUUUCUGUUUUGUAGAGACGAGGUCUCCUUCUGUUGCCCAGGCUAGUCUCAAACUCCUGGCCUGAAGCAAUCCUCUUGCCUCAGCCUCCCAAAAUGUUGGGAUUACAGGUGUGAGCCACUGUGCCUAGCCCCCACUCUUUUAGGCCACUGGAGGAAAUUCCAGUCACUAGGGAGGGGGCUCUGGGGCGAACCACCCCGCUGUGCUGGAGCUGACCAUCCCCCAUGUGUGUGGCAGGGCAGAGCAUCCUUUACAGAAGAAUGAGAGACUGGAAGGCUGCUGCUAUAACCACAUUUUCUAGAUUUCUUCCUCAUCUUCUCUUGCAUGAGGCCCUUUUCUCUCUUUCUUCCCUUGUCAGCGGCCUUCUGGGCUGGCACCAUUUGCUUUCAGGGCUGACAGUUGGCUGGGAAAAGUGCCUGUAUUUCUCUUCUCUCAUUGGCAUCUGUCUUAACCCUCCUUAUCGCAGCUGCUGCUGUGAGCUCAUGCAUCCUCUGUGUGCUGUUUUCCACCCCCAAAUUGCCGAACCUGCCCUGUUUGCUGUUUCUGGUGGUGCAGAGCAUUUCAAAAUUAAAAAUUUAAGACAUUCUCCCUCUCUGCCUGCUUUCUUGAUGGCAUACUUGUCAAUCUCGAAGUGCUACACUACACAGCUCAGAAAAAACAUAAUCAAGGAGAGAAAAUAAAAAAGAGACAAUAUGGAUGCGCAGACUGAUGGAAGGUGAAAAUGGACGUGUGGCCAGCUG
rnacentral:lncRNA from 1 species